UUGAGCCUAAAGAUGUACUAACACAUGGCAACCUCGAAUAGGGUACCGGUGGUUCGCGCUAAACACCCAUCAUAUUAGGGAAAUUACAAGCCAAGUUGAAUUUGGAUAUUGACAUGGAUAAGGAAGGAGACGAGCAAAAAA